UGUUAGGUUAUUUAUUUGUUGACUUUCUAUUAUUUUAAUGAAUGAGCUCAAUGCAAUGAACUUUCCUCUUAGCACUACCUUCACAGUGUCCCAGAGAUUCUGAUAUGUUAUAUCACUAUUCUCAUUUACCUCUAAGUAUUUUUUAAUUCCAUCCCUGAUUUCUUCUGCUCUCCAUUUGUCAUUCAAGAGCAUAUUAUUUUGUCUCCAUGUGUUAAAGUAGCUUCUAUUUUUUUAAUUCUUAAUUUUUUCUUUAGUUGUAGAAAUGCCUUUAUUUUAUUUAUUUAUUUUUAUGUGGUGCUAAGGAUCGAAGCCAGUGCCUCACAUGUGCUAGGCAAGUACUCUACCACUGAGCUACAGCCCCAGUCCAGUAGCUUCUAUUUUUUAUCACUGAUUUCUAAUUUCAUUACAUUAUGAUCUGAUAGAAUGCAAGGUAUUAUCUCUAUUUGUUUGUAUUUGCUAAGAGUUGCUUUGUGGCCUAUUUUAGAGAAUGAUUCAUGUGCUGAUAGAAGAAAGUAUAUUCAAUCAUUGAUAUUUUUGUAUUUUUGGAGUCCUGUAAACCUCCUAUAUUUGAUUUUCCAUUUCAUUCUUUAGGUAAAUUUUCUGGUAUUAUUUCAUUGAAAAGGCUGUGCAUUCCUUCUGUUUGUAUCUCCAAGUCUUCAUCUGUCCCAAUAAAUCUUAAAUUUGGUCUUUUCAGGUUAUCCCAUGUUUCUUGGAAGUUCUGUUCAUGGUCUCUUAACAUCUUUUCUCCACGGUCAACUUUGUUUUCAAGAUUACGUAUUUUGUCUUCAUUGCCUGAGCCUCUGUCUUCCAAGUGGUCUAGCCUGUUGGUGAUGCUUCC
rnacentral:lncRNA from 1 species